GGCAAAGCAGGAGGGGGACACUGUGCCCCAUACUCCUGCGUCCCUGGCCUGUGGCUACCCUGCUCUUAAUCUCAGACCCAAGGUCAGAGCACCAAGCUGAUGCUGAGAGCAGCGCUGAAGGGCUCACAGUUGCUGCUUCACAGGCCCCCGGGGGUGGGGGGUGUGGAGGUGGAGGAACAUGACCUACUUGCAGAAGGGGAAAGUGGCACUUCUCAGCAUGGGACUUGAGUCUUCAGAACAUGGUGGGCCAGAAAAAUGUGAGCUCCCGAAGUUCUGCACUGAAGCACGAUGUCUAAUCUGGCCCCAUCCUGACUUCUGCUGGAACCAAUGGACAUUGUUUUCCUGAAGAUAGAAGCCGGCUUCCUCAUUGGGUGUUCAGCAGAUGGGACGCACCAAACAGAAGACAGUAGCUCCCUGGGCUCACAGG
rnacentral:lncRNA from 1 species